GGAAUGAUUGCUGUAUAACUUAUAUACUAAAAUGAUGCACUUGGGGAUUCUUCAGGAUGAUGAAAGACACUAAGGAAAUUCAAAUUACUCAGUAAUGUUAUGAUUAUAAAUUACAGAUUGAUCAAAGACAGAAAGGAAUGAGUAGGACAGAGAGAAUCAUUAGCCCAGUGUUGGGAAGUCACACACCGCUCCACUCUUCUAGACGCAAAGGUUUUGGUAUCAAGCAGGAAACAGAACCUACGAGUAAGCCCGUGUUUCUGCUGUUGAGGCCAAUCACCAUCAUUACCAGCGUCUUUGAAGCUGUCUCUGUUUCUUCCAAAGGAAAAGAAAAACUGUAUCCUUUAUCGUAACGAUCCAGCGUUUCUGCUGAGUAUAUUUUUCUUAGGUCUUUUACUUUUUACCUAAGAAAUAAAAUAAGGGUAUGGAUAUA